rnacentral:rRNA from 1 species
UACAGAGGAUGCAAGCGUUAUCCGGAAUGAUUGGGCGUAAAGCGUCUGUAGGUGGCUUUUUAAGUCCGCCGUCAAAUCCCAGGGCUCAACUCUGGACAGGCGGUGGAAACUACCAAGCUGGAGUACGGUAGGGGCAGAGGGAAUUUCCGGUGGAGCGGUGAAAUGCGUAGAGAUUAGGAAGAACACCAGUGGCGAAGGCGACUUACUGGACUGUAACUGACGCUGAGGCAUGAAAGCGUGGGGAGCAAACAGG